rnacentral:rRNA from 1 species
UACGAAGGGUGCAAGCGUUACUCGGAAUUACUGGGCGUAAAGCGCGCGUAGGCGGUCUGUCAAGUCGAGGGUGAAAUCCCGGGGCUCAACCUCGGAACUGCCUUCGAUACUGUCAGUCUUGAGGUCGGGAGAGGAGAGUGGAACUCCGAGUGUAGAGGUGAAAUUCGUAGAUAUUCGGAAGAACACCAGUGGCGAAGGCGGCUCACUGGCCCGAUUCUGACGCUGAGGCGCGAAAGCGUGGGGAGCAAACAGG